rnacentral:rRNA from 1 species
AAUAUUGCGCAAUGGGCGAAAGCCUGACGCAGCGACGCCGCGUGUGGGAGGACGCUCUUCGGGGUGUAAACCACUGUCGGAGGGGAAGAACCCCGGCGAGGCGAACAGCCUCGACGGCUGACGGUACCCUCAGCAGGAAGCGCCGGCUAACUCCGUGCCAGCAGCCGCGGUAACACGGAGGGCGCGAGCGUUGUUCGGAAUUACUGGGCGUAAAGCGCGGGCAGGCGGUCCAUCAAGUCGUUUGUGAAAAUCCGGGGCUCAACCCCGCGAAAUGCAGACGAUACUGACGGACUAGAGGCCGGUAGAGGCUAGUGGAAUUCCUGGUGUAGCGGUGGAAUGCGUAGAUAUCAGGAAGAACACCUGUGGCGAAGGCGGCUAGCUGGGCCGGGUCUGACGCUCAUCCGCGAAAGCGUGGGGAGCAAACAGGAUUAGAUACCCUGGUAGUCCACGCCGUA